rnacentral:misc_RNA from 1 species
AGGAAGUAAAAGUCGUAACAAGGUUUCCGUAGGUGAACCUGCGGAAGGAUCAUUAAUGAAAAUGUGUUGCCGGGGCCCAUAAUCCCGGCACUAACCUUCUUAUCCAUAACACCUGUGCACUGUUGGAUGCUUGCAUCCACUUUUAUACUAAACAAUUUGUAACAAAUGUAGUCUUAUUAUAAUUAAUAAAACUUUUAACAACGGAUCUCUUGGCUCUCGCAUCGAUGAAGAACGCAGCGAAAUGCGAUAAGUAAUGUGAAUUGCAGAAUUCAGUGAAUCAUCGAAUCUUUGAACGCACCUUGCGCUCCUUGGUAUUCCGAGGAGCAUGCCUGUUUGAGUGUCAUAAACCUCUCAAACCCAAGUUUUGGAUUUAUCCUUGCUUGAGUUUGGAUUUGGGUGUUUGCCAGUGAUGAACUGACUCACCUUAAAAGUAUUAGCUAGAUCUGUCUUUGACUGGUUUGACUUGGCAUAAUAAGUAUUUUGCUAAGGACAUCUUCGGAUGGCCAGGACUUGACUUUUGUCUGCUUACUAAAC